UAUUUGGCUCCGCUUUGUCCUUCCAAUCCAGUGCGCUUGAACUCGGUGGAGGCUGUGAGGAAGGCGAAGGGCUCUUUCCUGGGGGGGGCAACCCAGAGCCGCGGCCUCGCCCACUCCCACAGCGCGCUGGGACGCCCCCCCGUCAGGUCCACACACACCGAGCGCCCACGUCGGCCCCCGCUGGGCACGGCCCUCCCGCCCCCUCCCCGCCGAGCCCACCCCGGAGGGCGCGGCCACGGGCGGCCGAGGCGAGCCGCCGGGACCCUGAGCGCUGAGGGGCCGGAGCCCAUCGGAGCCUCCGCCGCCGGGACCUGGCUCCACGCAAGCCCCCGCGGGAGCAGGACCGUGGGCAGCCGCGAGCACCGGACUCGCCUCAGACCCGAGCGGGGGGGGCCCUUCCGACCACCCGCCCCUCAGCCUCCCGGCGACGCCCGCCGCCCUCACGGGGACUCAGCUCACCUGCCGCCGCCUCCUCACCCGCCAGCGACACGUAGCACAAGAGCUGACGACCGAGGCUACCGGAACCGGAACCGGAAACCGCGUCUCCGGCCUCUAGCCCGCCCACCCAUCCGCCGCUCAUUGGUCCCUCACGCGGAGACGUCAGUGCGCAGGCGCUGCUCCGAGUACGCCUCGGACACGCCUCCCGGAAGAGGCGGCCUGCGGUGCGCGAUGACGUGCGCGCCCCCGGUUUGGCCCUCCUGGGCGGCUGCGUGGGGCGGCUCUGGCGUCCUUCCCCGGCAGCGUCCCCGGAGCCCUGACGUCAGCGCGUUCGCGGCCGGAGCCCCGCGGCCUUGCGCGGCACGUGCUCUGCAGACGCGGGCGAGGCCGGUGGCGGCGACGUGGCUGCGUUGGACGGGACGGGCCGGGCCCCGACUCAGUUGUUGGUUCGGGCCGCGCGUCCCCCGCCUGCCCGCACUGCUCACGUGCGUUCGAUUUAUUGAUCGAAGGGAAGCUCGCAAGCAGCAUGACCACGUGACGGCCGACCUCCCCCAAAGUCUCCAGCCCCGCCGGGCCGCCGUUUGGGAUCAGUCUGGGGACGACGUCCAGAACGGGGUCCACCCUAGAUUUCCUUCAAAUCCAUCUUCUUGGGAAUUUAUAUUUUAUCUGCCCUCUAAGACAAAUACUAGUUUUAUGAGAUCGGCACCGCACAACAAAAAGGAUAAUUAAAACAAAAAGAGAAGAGCACUUUCUUGACCAUUUCUGAGUCUCCUUCAGAGAUGGUUUCCUGCGCUGGUCCUGUAUGGUCAAGGUAACUGCUCUAACACACAAGCACACCAUCUGGUUUAACACCAUGUUUAUUCUCGCCCAGACCCAGUCUCAGAUGGACUUGAUAUAGGGAGGUGGUCUACUUUCCAGUCAUUUAGCAUCUCAGGCUCCUUAAACCGUGCAGUGCUGCCAAUUUCCAGGGCCUUGGAGUCUUCAGGUGCCUCCUUUGCAUCCAACCAGAGGAUAAAGGAAGAAAACAAAUGUGGAGGCUUGAGUGAGACCUGAGAGGCCUAAAAACAGCAUCCAUCACUUUAAUCUAAAUCUCAUUGACCAGAACCAACCAGUAUGGCUUCACUGAUCUGAAGAAGUCAUAGGAAACACAGUUUCAUUGUGUGCCAGGGGAGGAAAGAGGCAUUAGUAUAAUCGAAUAACCAACUAGUCUUUAGCAUUUUCUCAGGUAUGUAUGUUCCUAAGGGUUCCAUUCUCAAAAUGUUCUUGCAUUUUAGAUUUUUCAGUUGACUCUUCGGGUUUUGAUUACUAUGAGAAGAUUGUUGACAAGUCUAUAUAUCUCUGAUCAAGAUCCUUUUAAAAAUUUAAUUUUUAAAAAAUAAUCUCUACACCCAAUGUGCCACUUGAACUCACAACCCUGAGAUCCAAAAGUUGCAUGCUUCACCAGCUGAACCAGCUGAACACCCCAAAGUCUUGUUAAAUGGAAAAAAAAAAAAACCAGAGUAGAGAAACAUGCCUACAGUAUGUUACAACUUAUCUAAGAAAUUUUAAUAAUAUCUCCACAUAUACUUAAUGUUUUCCUGAAGAUUUUUAAAAUAUAUUUAAUUAGAGAGGGAGAGUGUGGGCACACAUGAGGAAGUGGGAGAGAUGUACAGAGCCUGCUGUGGGGCUCGAUCCCACCACCCAAGAGAUCAUGACAUAAGCUGAAACCAAGAGUCAGAUGCCCAACUGACUGAGCCAUCCAGAGGCCCCUAUAUUUAAUUUUUUAAUGAAAAUAUAAACUUUUAGAAUUAUAUGAUUACCUGUAGUGUGGAGAGAUUAAGGGUAGAAGUGAAACCUACCUGAGUAUACCUCAUUUGGCAGAUUUGAUUUUGGAACUGAAAAUUUUUAUGAUUACUUUUAAAGACUUAAUCUUUUAAAAGUAAACUUUUGAAAUAUACAGCAACUGUUCGAAAUGAUUUUGAAACAGUAAUCUGUGUGAUAUAAGGAUAAAAUGAAAAGCAUAAUAAGCUUAAAGAGUUUUUAGUAAUAUUUUUGGUAGGAUUGUUGGUAUUGUUAUUGAGACUUAUUUGUGUAUUAUCGGAUAAAGCAAGUCAGUAACUAUGUUGGUGUCAUUGAAAACUAGAAUUUUCAGAGUUGCUGAAAGGAAAAACAGAUAAAAGGCUGGCAUGGUUAAAUUAAAGCCCCGUCAUUUUUAGUUUGAAUUGGAAAUACCAUGAAUUUAUGGAGUAUUUUAUCUGAAAACAAAUAAGCAAGAUUCCCUGGUCUGUGCCCUAAAAAGGCCUAGAAACAAUGUUCAAUCUAGUAGUAAUGAAUUUCUAGCCCCAGAUUAUGGUCUUUGUAUAUUGUUUUCUAGGAAAAGAAACCAGUGCUCUGUGGAAAAAUGGAGGAUUCAAGGCUGAGGCAGGAAAUCUAUAGGAUGAGUCUGGACUAUUAUUAUCCAAGAAGGCUGCUAGAGUCCUGUCAGAAGGACUCAGGAGCUUACCUGAAGAGCUUCCUGCUAGCCAAAGAUGGGACACUUUGAACCUCAGUAAGGAUGAUAAAUACAGUGUGUCAAAACACAUUGACUAUGUUUAAAUCCAUGUGUUUAUAAUUAUACCUAAAAACAUUUCAGUCACCUUUGGAGAAUAUAAAUGAAGCAUGUAAUUACUUUGAAAAUAGGCAAAUAAAGGGUAAGAAUCAAGCA
ensembl:lncRNA